rnacentral:rRNA from 1 species
AUGAUGCCAGGUGGUGCAGCAGCUGCAGGCCGAUGUGCGCUCGCUUCUAGCACCGUCGCAUCAAGACCGCGUGCUACCAGAGGUGGUGGCGCGCGCGCUUCAAGAUCAAGCUCCCCCUUUACUGAUGGCACCUGUGAGUGCGGCAGGCUGUCUUUCUUUCACCCCGGAGCUGCGCCAUGUCUCUGGCCUGGCAAGUUCAAGCUGGAUCUGCCUCCACGCUAUGACAGCACCCUUGACCCCGUUGAGUUCCUCCAGCUCUAUGAGCUGAGCACCGAGGUGGCAAAUGGCAAUGACAAGGUCAUGGUGAACUGGUUCCCCAUGGCCCUUAAGGAUGGCGCGCGUUCUUGGCUACUGAACCUCCCGGUGGAGUCGAUCUCCUCCUGGGACGAGCUACGUGAGCGCUUCAUCGCCAACUUCCAGGGCACUCGUGACCGCGCUCCUGCAGUAGGCUACAUGCGGUGCAUAAGACAGCAGUCGGGCAAGACCUUGCACAAGUACAUACAGCAUUUCACGAAUGUUCGCCUGAAGAUCCCGAAGGUGUCGGAUGAGUCCAUCAUCUCAUCGUUCUCUGAUGGCGUCCGGGAUGUCAAGACAAAGGAGGAGCUCGCCAUCCACGAGGACUUGUGCUCGGCUCUGGAGAUGUUCAACAUGGCAGCCAGAUGCGUGAGGGCGGAGGAAGGUUGCCUCUCCCUCCUGGAGCUCCCGGAGGCUGAUCCUGGAGACAAGAAGGCCAAGGCUAAGGAAGUGAAGUGUAAGGUCCCCACCGUGCUGGCCGCGAAGCCCGAGAUGAAGCAUGGUCAUGACCAUGAUGAGGCCCCUAGGGGCAACCGCCCAUUCUGCGUCUUCCACAACGUCCACAUCCACAACACCAACAACUGCCAGGAUCUCAAGGCAAUCCGCGACGGGUGCCUUGGCCGCCGCCCCGAGCGCAGUGACCGGGAAGGAGGACGCGGUGGAGGCCGUUGGGACAACUGCGCCCCCCCUAGGACUGGCGUGAGCAGCUUCAUGAGGACUGCUGGCAGGGUCAGCCUCGCGAUGUCCCCUAGCGUGACCAGCCUCGUGAGGACCGACCUCAGGGCAAUGCUGGCCUCCCUCCGCUGCCGCCUCCACCAAGGAGAAACGAUGAUAACCACCAAGAUGAUGGGGUUGGGGGCUUCCAAGAGCCUCGUGCGAUUGCCUGCAUCCUGGGUGGUGCUCAGGCUCCCGCCUCUCAUCGCAUCUUCAAGCAGUUCGCUCGUGAGGUGA